rnacentral:rRNA from 1 species
GAGACAGCAGUCGCCGCGGUAAUACAGAGGGUGCGAGCGUUAAUCGGAUUUACUGGGCGUAAAGCGUGCGUAGGCGGCUUCUUAAGUCGGAUGUGAAAUCCCUGAGCUUAACUUAGGAAUUGCAUUCGAUACUGGGAAGCUAGAGUAUGGGAGAGGAUGGUAGAAUUCCAGGUGUAGCGGUGAAAUGCGUAGAGAUCUGGAGGAAUACCGAUGGCGAAGGCAGCCAUCUGGCCUAAUACUGACGCUGAGGUACGAAAGCAUGGGGAGCAAACAGGAUUAGAUACCCGAGUAGUCCCUGUCUCUUAUAC